UACGAAGGGGGCUAGCGUUGUUCGGAAUUACUGGGCGUAAAGGGCGCGUAGGCGGUGUGUCAAGUCAGGCGUGAAAGCCCCGGGCUCAACCUGGGAACAGCGCUUGAGACUGGCACGCUCGAGUUCGGGAGAGGAUGGUGGAAUUCCCAGUGUAGAGGUGAAAUUCGUAGAUAUUGGGAAGAACACCCGUGGCGAAGGCGGCUCUCUGGGACGGUACUGACGCUGAGACGCGAAAGCGUGGGGAGCGAACAGG
rnacentral:rRNA from 1 species